rnacentral:misc_RNA from 1 species
GAUGAAGAACGUAGCGAAAUGCGAUAAGUAGUGUGAAUUGCAGAAUUCAGUGAAUCAUCGAAUCUUUGAACGCACAUUGCGCCCUUUGGUAUUCCUUAGGGCAUGCCUGUUCGAGCGUCAUUUAAACCUUCAAGCUAAGCUUGGUGUUGGGUGACUGUCCGCUUCACUGCGGACUCGCCUCAAAAUUAUUGGCGGCCGGUACAUUGGCUUCGAGCGCAGCAGAAACGCGAACUCGGGCCCGUCGUAUUGGCUCCCAGAAGCUAUCUUCACAAUUUUGACCUCGGAUCAGGUAGGGAUACCCGCUGAACUUAAGCAUAUCAAUAAGCGGGGA